rnacentral:misc_RNA from 1 species
CUAAAGAUUCACGUCUUUGGUUCCAUCUCGCGCACUGUAUACCCCUCUUCAGUACUUGUCGGUCUUGUGCUGUUGAGGCCCCUUUUUUACCCUUUUUUUACUUUAAUUUGAUAACUUCUGUUAGGUGGGGAAUAUAAUA